rnacentral:rRNA from 1 species
GAUGAACGCUGGCGGCGUGCCUAAUACAUGCAAGUCGAGCGAACAGACGAGGAGCUUGCUCCUCUGACGUUAGCGGCGGACGGGUGAGUAACACGUGGAUAACCUACCUAUAAGACUGGGAUAACUUCGGGAAACCGGAGCUAAUACCGGAUAAUAUAUUGAACCGCAUGGUUCAAUAGUUAAAGACGGUUUUGCUGUCACUUAUAGAUGGAUCCGCGCCGCAUUAGCUAGUUGGUAAGGUAACGGCUCACCAAGGCAACGAUGCGUAGCCGACCUGAGAGGGUGAUCGGCCACACUGGAACUGAGACACGGUCCAGACUCCUACGGGAGGCAGCAGUAGGGAAUCUUCCGCAAUGGGCGAAAGCCUGACGGAGCAACGCCGCGUGAGUGAUGAAGGUCUUCGGAUCGUAAAACUCUGUUAUUAGGGAAGAACAAAUGUGUAAGUAACUAUGCACGUCUUGACGGUACCUAAUCAGAAAGCUACGGCUAACUACGUG